UCGAAGUAACAAAGGUCAAUUGAUCAUUUGAGCGUUAAUGAGACAAAUAUAUAAAACAUCAAUAUAUAGUUAAGUCUAAAUUUAUGAUGAUUCUAGUUUGGAAAAGGUUUCUAGCAACUCAUGUUCUAAAAGUUGUUUAAUUGUAGUACACAGAUCAUGGUGUUUUAACACUAUGAAGUAAUCAACAAUUUUUCGUUUCUUACAUUCAAAGUAAGGAAAAUGUUUAAAAUUCUCUUGUUUACUAGUUCUAUUAUCGUCUUCCUUUCCCUAUUUUUUGUAACUUAUGAAGACUUUUGGAAUGUUUGUGCAUAUAAUUCUGAUUGUCAAAGUUAUCCAUGUGACCUUGGUGAAAGUAGGAACUGUACUUUGAAUCGGUGUAUAUGUGUGUAUAACAUUUAAGUCAAAUUGUAACUUUAUAUUAUUCUUAGGCUAGCUAUAAUUUUAUUUUCAUGCAAAUAAUCAUAAUUUGUUUUUUUGAGGAAAAUAAUAAUAAUAAUAAUAAUAUUACU